UGGUUUGAAAGCCUUGAAUGUUAUAGAACAUAUGCCAAAUCAGUGGCAAUCCAAGAUUGUCUUCUAAAUGCUAGAGCCUUUAUAGCCAGAAAAGUAAGUGAAUCAACAUAAAGAAACCACCAAGUCAGAGAAUCGAGUGAGAUAUACCAGGCUACUGAAAGCUUUAGCCAAUCUUUGGAUGCUUCUACUAUGAGGAAAGCAACACAGACAACCUCACAACACAAAAGCAAGAAAAAAAAAAGGAGAGAAAGAUGGUAGCUGCGAGUGUGAUUGCAGCUAUGGCUUACCAAGCUGCACUAAACCCUCCAGGUGAUGUCUGGGACUGUAAUUCAAGCCCAGAUGAACCCCUGUCUCUCUGCUGGAACAUCAAUCUGUGACUCGGCCUGAACAAUAUAGCAAGUUCCUGAUAUACAACACAAUUCCUUCGUUUCUUCUUUAAGCACUAUUUUCUUGCAAGUGGGUUGCCACUAAGAGGAUUUUCAUGUACACCCCAAUAGCUACCAUGUAGGUGACAAUAAUAUCUACAGCAUUAUCCUGUCUGAAUUUCUUGAAUAGCAUUUUGGGUUCCCAACCUUUCUAUCUUGGAAAGCUUGAAAUUUUCUUGUUCGUGUGGUCAGUCUUGGUUAUCUUUGCUUUGUUAUCUCACAUUGUCCGCUUCAACAUAAAGAUCAUAAGGCUUGCUUUAAAAACUAGGAAGAAGAGGCUUUCAAGUUUCAAGGCAUCUGAGUGAAGCACAAGAUCAGCGUCAGGCCAAUGGCAUGCCACAAGCUCGACUUCAGUGUACCGUUUUAUUUGAUCCAUGCGAUGUCUGUACGUUUGGGAUGGUUAUAAUUUGAUCAAUUAUGAAUAUACUAUUAUUAUAACGUCAAAAUAAUCUAUUAAAUUGAUUUAUUAAGAGUAGCAGAACAGAAAGAGCAUGAUAUCAUGGUACACAAAACACAGAAGUUCUAUGUUUUUUCAAAUGGGAACAAGACAAACUAAUGGCCAAAGAUUUUCGAACAUUUUGUUCAACAAGACCAGACCAGACCACUGCAUUAUUCCUGCAGACAAAAUAUGCAGCAGCGAUACGCCCCUCAAUUGACCAAGGGAUAUAAGUUACAAACAUGAAAAUUUACAAAAUAAGGAUAUAAAUACAGAAAAUUCAUCAAUUUAGUUUACCUCGUAUAACAUUAACAAAAAUUAGUGGGCUAUAUCAGAAGCAAAUACAAGAACUCCUAAAGCAGAACUUAUAAAUAUCAUAGGGACUCAACAACCAUCGUGCAUGCUGUGUUAAAAUUAUCAGCAGCCAUAUAAAUACUUGGUUUGUUCAAAUCCAGGCAUUCUAAAUCCCCACCACGUUCAGUGAAAAAAUCAAGGAGAUUCCUGCCAUAUUCCAGUAACAUGGUGAAGAAACUCCUUUCAAACAAACUCAAAUGCAUAGUCAACUCAUCUCAACCUUAAGGGAAUAUUUCAUUUGGAUUCUGCAUAUGUGACAUCAAUGCAAUCAAUUUCUACUUUGCACCAGUACCAAGAAUACGAGAUGAGAUGCUCCAUAACUUAUCACCAAGCUUCGCAUUUGUUGUCAAAGGGGCUGCAGCUUUAUUAGAAACGGUCUUUGACUUCACAAGUGGUUGCUUAUUGCUCUUCCCCAUUCCAUUAGCAAGCAGCCAACGAGACCCAGAUUGUUGCUGAGAGGUGGUACCCCAAAGCUUCUUCUUGCCGGGCUCAGUCUUGAGACCAGCAACUUGUAUUUCAGUGAUGCAGAACUGAGGAAUUCCUUUCUUUUCAGAUGCCUUUUCCUCAAUUUUCUCCUCCUUUGCCUUUUCCUUCACCACUAAUUCUGACUCAUCAUCAUCCUCGUUGUCAUUUCUUACCUCCGAAACCUUACAGUAUAUUUUUGGUUUUGGUGGAACAAACACUCUCUCUACUUGAAUGAGCGCAAGCAUUGGUGUGCCAACUGGUUCAUAGUUUCUCAGAGGAUCACGAAGCUGCACCAUCAAUGCAACAGUGAAGUUAUUCCCCAGUAAACCGCACUUUCUACCAGAUCCUUUGCCACGCCUUCUCUCUCCUUUUGACCCCCCACGAAUCAAGUCCAAGGAGCUGGCAUGAUGGGCAGCAAGUAUCUUAGAAGUCCGCUCACUUAUUUGAUCUUCAUCACCAAUAUCACCAGAAUCCAGCCGCAUCCAUUCAUCAAGAGUUAGUGACAGACCCAUUAAUCCAUCAAUAUCAUCACCACUGUCCUUUAUGUCCAACAAUUGUAAACCAGCAGCUCCCUCCAAACCAAGGGACCCAGUGACAUUGAUGCCCUUUCCCUGAAAGGCUGAAAUUUCACCCAUAGACUGUGCACUGAUGCUUGAGGUUGCAUCAUCAUCUGACAUGCCAGAUUGUACUCUUAAUCCCUCAAAUGAGAGUGCCUCAAUCUUAUCCAUUGCCAAGGGAGCAAGAUCUUCUAGAGAUACAUAUUCUGAGCCCAUCUCAUUCCCUACUGUGCUUGACUUCAACCUGUUAGAUCUGCGUGCAGAUGAUCUCUCCUUCACAUUCUUUUGCCCACCAGAUAUAUCUUGCCCAAUUUCCAAUUCACACUGCAAUGAGCUUUGCCUCUCAGGUCCCUCCAGAGAUGCUGCAGUUUCCCAUGCUACUUGUUGCAUUGUUCUUCCAGUGAUAUCUUCCAAAGGCAUUAACUUAUUUGCCUGCAUAGAGAGUUUUUCAAUCCCAACCGAAGCCAACUGCUGCAGUAUAUCCAUUAUACUAGAACCCAUUUCAGCAGGUACCACAACAGGACUGGAAACUUGCAUGAUCAAGCGCCCGCCACUUUUCGCAUUUCUGAAAAGUGAAGGAUUCAUAGAUCGCAAAAAUCCACCAUUUUUUGUCUGCAGAAAUGAACCUAAGCCUUCUCCAAGAGGUGGCAAUUCAAGUGGUUCUUCAGGAGGCAAAUCAAUUGGACUUCCAAAACUACCACAGUUCUCAGGUGGAGAGCACUGAAAAGCAUUAUCAUUCAAGCCCCAUUCAUGCAUUAAAGCUUCUGUCUCCAAGUCUUCCAACAUUUUUGCCCUUGUCUUACCACUCUCUGCCUGAAUUCCCAUCUGCCGCUCCUUAGCAGCUUGGUUAAUUGAUGACUGACCAAAAUCCUCAGACAAGUUCCCCCACUCAGACACAGUUGAUGUGUUGAGGUCACAUUCUAUUUGGUCCUCAAUGUCAACACCAAAAUCAAACAUGGAAUAACCCCCAGCUAGGGCAUCCUUCUCAAACUGUCUUAGUAAGCGUUCCCUUGGCGACUCAGGUUCACUCUCUGAACUCAAGCCUAAUGGAUAAUGCUCAAUCCCCAGCAUGUCCAGAAAUUCAUUUGCCACAGACUCAGUUACAUCAUCUAAACUAGGUGAUGUCUCAUUCCUAUUUGAUUCAUAAACCAUUUUGUCUCCCAUGCAAUCUUCUUUCUCUUCAGAAGAAUCAAAUGCUUCAGUUUCCAAAUUUGUCACAUUACUCAAUGCAGCUUCCAAUUCUUUCAUCACAGACUCUUUUGAGCAUUUCUCAUCCUCCUUAGAAUAGCAAUCAUGCACUGUAAGCUUGUCUUUAGGACUACCAUUCCCUGCAUUCUGCAGUUGAAGCUUAUCACCCUCUUCAAAACUUAUCUGAAAACUACCAUCAAUCUUAUCUUCUACUAAAGAAACAUCAUCGAUCUUAACAGUAACUUCAACUGCUUUCUCCCGUUCCUCUUUUGACAAUUCCAUUCCCUGUUCAAUCACAGAAAAUUCACCAUCUUCACAAUCCUUGUCAACACUGUUUUGGCUGGAUUUAGACACACAGAAGAAAUUUGACUUCAAUAGGUCAAGACGUCCUGUGAAAACAUCAAGUUCAGGCUUAUAGUCAAAUGAAGAAUCCAACUUUUCUUCAUUGAGUUUCUGAUGCAUCAUAAGUACUGGAUUGACAAGUUCUGACUUUGAUGUUGGCAAUACAUCAUGAAGAUAUUUUACAUUCUCUACAGAUUGGGAUGAGGCAUGACGCUGGCGUUUCAAAGCAUCGGGAAGACUUCCAGUGUGACGAAUUGUGCUCUUCCCAUCACCUUGACCAAAUUUAGGGACUGCUUUUGCUGCUCUCACAUUAUUCCGCUUCAAGUUAAACAGCUCUGGAUCAUUCUGGUUAUGUCCAAGUGGAAUUGGACUAUCCCCAACCACUGUAUACCCAAAACUAACAUUCAUCAUGGCACCCUUUGCUUCUCCUGACAGCUUAAAACUUGUAGUCCACUUUCCAGAGCUCUUCUCCUCUUCCAAUUCCUCCAAUGUGAGAGGAAGCAGCCUUGUGAGGUCAACCCUAUGCUUUCCCAAAUCAAGCUCCUGGACACCAAUUGCAGAUGCAUAUAGCAAGAAAUGUUUUGCCUCAUACUUUGCUGAGUGGUGAGGUCCAUUCCUACUCCCAUAGACCAAGCAUGUAUGCGACAACUUCUCCUCAAACUCAGCAAUACCUUCAAAAACCUUCACAGGACUUGUAACCAGCUCCCCAUCCCGCCUCUUCCAGUGAACACAAACACUAAGAUUUUCAAAACUUGACGGAAACCCUUCGAUGGAGUGGACUAGGAGAGAGAAACAACAAUUGAACUUUCGGUUCCUAACAUUUGAAAGGGCUUUUAAUGGCUUCCAAUUCCAAAAGGACUUCUUGUCCUUUUGCGAUGAAUCUACGUUGCCAUACUUUAUCUUCGAUUUAGGAUCAACCAAUUGGGAUUUCCCAGUUGGUUUUGAUCUAUUACCAGGUGCGGAAAUUGAGGUCCUCGAAGGGUUUUUGUCAAGGUAUAGAGCUUUGCUUAUGUUUUCUAUCUCGCUCAACAACUUUGCAUUACCUGAAUCUUCUCCAAGUUUUUUCCUAACUUCAACUUUGGACAUCAUCACCUGCAAUCAGAAACUCGUCUCAAAGCGAACCCUAAAACAACAAAAGCACCGUCUCUCUAUCCAAAAUUCAAAAUUUUCGAUUUAACAGAGAUGCCCAGAGAAGCAUUACGAAGAACACUGAUGACGACAAAGAGGAUAGUGUCUUACAGGAAGAAGAGAGUUACGGUGUCUGAACUGCGUUAGCGCUGUCACUGUUUGAUCUCUCUCUCUCUCUCUCUC
rnacentral:misc_RNA from 1 species